rnacentral:misc_RNA from 1 species
CAUUAGCGCGCAGGCCGGAGGCUGGCCCCCCACGAUAGGGCCAAACGUCCGUCAGGGGUGAGCAGAUGUGCGCCGGCCGUACCGCCCCAUUCUUGUCUACAUUACUCGGUUGCCUCGGCGGGCCGCGCUCUCCCAGGAGAGCCGUUCGGCGAGCCUCUCUUUAGUGGCUAAACGCUGGACCGCGCCCGCCGGAGGACAGACGCAAAAAAAUUCUUUCAGAAGAGCUGUCAGUCUGAGCGUUAGCAAGCAAAAAUCAGUUAAAACUUUCAACAACGGAUCUCUUGGUUCCGGCAUCGAUGAAGAACGCAGCGAAAUGCGAUAAGUAAUGUGAAUUGCAGAAUUCCGUGAAUCAUCGAAUCUUUGAACGCACAUUGCGCCCCCUGGCAUUCCGGGGGGCAUGCCUGUUCGAGCGUCAUUUCAGCCCCUCAAGCCCGGCUUGUGUGAUGGACGACCGUCCGGCGCCCCCGUCUUUGGGGGUGCGGGACGCGCCCGAAAAGCAGUGGCCAGGCCGCGAUUCCGGCUUCCUAGGCGAAUGGGCAACAAACCAGCGCCUCCAGGACCGGCCGCCCUGGCCUCAA